UUAAUAUGAAACGAUUAUAAGAAAGAAAAGAAGAAAUGUAUUAAUAUUUUUAAAAUAUAAAUACAUAUUUCUUUUUUUUAAUGUACUUUUUUUAUAAAAGGUGUAAAUAAUAUUUUAGAUAUUGUUAUACUAAUUUAUAAAAAUUGUACGAAAAUUUGAUAUUACAUAAUAAAAUUAUUUUUUAUUAAAUAAUUUAUGUAAUAUCAAAUUUUCAUCAACAAUAUUGAAUACUCAAACUUUUUACAUAAUUAUCUGUUUUAUUAUAUAUAUAUAUAUAUUAUAAUAAUAUCUUUAUGAGUUAGUUAUAUUUUGAAGAAAAAUAUAUAUUUUUUUAUAUUAUAUAUAUUAUUAUAAAUAUAUGUAAUUCUUUUAAGUAUAAUAAUAAUAAUGAAUAUAGCA
rnacentral:rRNA from 1 species